CAAUACUAGACUCCUGCCACUCAGCCAUGGCUGUGGUUACUAACCAGUGGGACACUCUUGAUCUUGUAGGAUACUUUUGCUAGGGAGGUCCAACUUUUGCUCUGAAGAUGGCUUUGCAGAAAAAGCACCUUGGUGACUGAAUUGGCAUGAGGCUUCCAACCCAAGAGAAUCACCUAGGAGACAAACCUCCUGACAUGUUGCUCAAGAAGUUGCUACACAGGGUUAACUGAGAGAGGAAGACCCACCCUAGACAUGGCUGUCACCAUUCCAUGGGCUGAGGUCCUAGACAGAAUGAAAAGCCAAAAGAGAACCGAGCAGUGGCACUCAUCUGGCCCUGCAUCGUGAAUACAGAAGCAAUGUGACCAGACUCCUGUUGCCAUUACAUCCCAGCCGCGAUGAACCACAUCCUCAAACUGUGAGCCAAGAUAAACCCUCCUUACUUAAGCUGUUUUGUCAUAUGAGGAAAAAAGCGAUCAAUACA